GGGCGCUUGGCACAGGGGUAGCGCGCACGCUUCGCAUGGUCGAUUGCGUGAGGUCGUGGGUUCAAAUCCCACAGUGUCCA
rnacentral:tRNA from 2 species